rnacentral:rRNA from 1 species
GGAUUGAAGCUUGCUUCAAUUGCCGGCGACCGGCGCACGGGUGAGUAACGCGUAUCCAACCUUCCGCUUACUCGGGGAUAGCCUUUCGAAAGAAAGAUUAAUACCCGAUGGUAUCUUAAGCACGCAUGAGAUUAAGAUUAAAGAUUUAUCGGUAAGCGAUGGGGAUGCGUUCCAUUAGGCAGUUGGCGGGGUAACGGCCCACCAAACCUACGAUGGAUAGGGGUUCUGAGAGGAAGGUCCCCCACAUUGGAACUGAGACACGGUCCAAACUCCUACGGGAGGCAGCAGUGAGGAAUAUUGGUCAAUGGGCGAGAGCCUGAACCAGCCAAGUAGCGUGAAGGAUGACGGCCCUACGGGUUGUAAACUUCUUUUGUGCGGGAAUAAAGGAACCUACGUGUAGGUUUUUGCAUGUACCGUAACGAAUAAGCAUCGGCUAACUCCGUGCCAGCAGCCGCGGUAAUACGGAGGAUGCGAGCGUUAUCCGGAUUUAUUGGGUUUAAAGGGAGCGUAGACGGGUUUUUAAGUCAGCUGCGAAAGUUUGGGGCUCAACCUUAAAAUUGCAGUUGAAACUGGAGACCUUGAGUACGGUUGAGGCAGGCGGAAUUCGUGGUGUAGCGGUGAAAUGCUUAGAUAUCACGAAGAGCCCCGAUUGCGAAUGCAGGCUGCUAAGCCGCCACUGACGUUGA